rnacentral:rRNA from 1 species
UCGGAGGACAGGUGCUGCAUGGCUGUCGUCAGCUCGUGUCGUGAGAUGUUGGGUUAAGUCCGCAACGAGCGCAACCCUUAUCUUAAUUGCCAGCAUUCAGUUGGGCACUUUAAAGAGACUGCCGGUGUUAAACCGGAGGAAGGUGGGGAUGACGUCAAGUCCUCAUGGCCUUUAUGCUUAGGGCUACACACGUGCUACAAUGGGUGGUACAAAGAGAAGCCAACUCGCGAGAGCGCGCCAAUCUCAAAAAGCCAUCCUCAGUUCGGAUUGGAGUCUGCAACUCGACUCCAUGAAGUUGGAAUCGCUAGUAAUCGCGGAUCAGCACGCCGCGGUGAAUACGUUCCCGGGCCUU